CUUGAAUCUGUCUGCUUGAAUAGGAGAUAGCAGAUAUGGACUAGGUAGUCUACUUCACAUUAAGUGUGAGAACUGCAAAAAGGUGAGCCUGGUUCCAACAGGGAAAAGACAUGGUCCAAAUGCUUGGGAUGUAAAUUCCAAGUUAGGUGCAGCAAUGCUUUUUUGUGGCAUUGGGGAAACUGCAAUAAAUGCUUUGCUUGCUGCACUUAAUUUACCAUCUGUUACCCCAACAACAUUAAAAAGGAGAGAAAGAGAGGCAGGGGUGGCUUUUGAGGCAGUUGCAGAUGCAACAUGCCAGAAUGCAAUAUUAAAUGAAAA